rnacentral:rRNA from 1 species
UGCAAGUCGAGCGAACAGACGAAGUGCUUGCACUUCUGACGUUAGCGGCGAACGGGUGAGUAACACGUAAGGAAUCUACCUAUAAGCGGGGGAUAACAUUCGGAAACGGGUGCUAAUACCGCAUAAUAUCUUCUUCCGCAUGGAAGAAGAUUGAAAGACGGCUCUGCUGUCACUUAUAGAUGACCUUGCGGUGCAUUAGUUAGUUGGUGGGGUAAAGGCCUACCAAGACGAUGAUGCAUAGCCGACCUGAGAGGGUGAUCGGCCACAUUGGGACUGAGACACGGCCCAAACUCCUACGGGAGGCAGCAGUAGGGAAUCUUCCGCAAUGGGCGAAAGCCUGACGGAGCAAUGCCGCGUGAGUGAAGAAGGCCUUCGGGUCGUAAAACUCUGUUAUAAGAGAAGAACAAAUUGUAGAGUAACUGCUACAGUCUUGACGGUAUCUUAUCAGAAAGCCACGGCUAACUACGUGCCAGCAGCCGCGGUAAUACGUAGGUGGCAAGCGUUGUCCGGAUUUAUUGGGCGUAAAGGGAGCGCAGGUGGUUUCUUAAGUCUGAUGUGAAAGCCCACGGCUUAACCGUGGAGGGUCAUUGGAAACUGGGAAACUUGAGUACAGAAGAGGAAUGUGGAACUCCAUGUGUAGCGGUGGAAUGCGUAGAUAUAUGGAAGAACACCAGUGGCGAAGGCGACAUUCUGGUCUGUUACUGACACUGAGGCUCGAAAGCGUGGGGAGCGAACAGGAUUAGAUACCCUGGUAGUCCACGCCGUAAACGAUGAGUGCUAGGUGUUGGA